rnacentral:rRNA from 1 species
GAUGAACGCUGGCGGCGUGCCUAAUACAUGCAAGUCGAGCGAAGCGAGGACGGGGGAGAAACACGCGGCGAACCUCCUAUAUUAAUGGGAUAACUUCGGGAAACCGGAGCUAAACCGGAUACCUAUGGAUGGAUCCGCGCUGCAUUAGCUAGUUGGUAAGGUAACGGCUUACCAAGGCAACGAGGCAUAGCCGACCAGAGAGGUUGAACCGGCGCCCUGGAACGAUGAGAAGGUGAAGACUCCUACGUGAGGCUGCAGUAGGGAAUCUUGGUCAUGGGACGCCAGCCUGACGCAGCCAUGCCGCGUGAGUGAUGAAGGUUUUGGGGCUGUAAAACUCUGUAUUAAGUGGAGCGGUACCGAAGCACUAAGCCACGGCUAACGACGUGCCAGCAGCCGCGGUAAUUC